rnacentral:rRNA from 1 species
GAUGAACGCUGGCGGCGUGCCUAAUACAUGCAAGUCGAGCGAACGGACGAGAAGCUUGCUUCUCUGAUGUUAGCGGCGGACGGGUGAGUAACACGUGGAUAACCUACCUAUAAGACUGGGAUAACUUCGGGAAACCGGAGCUAAUACCGGAUAAUAUUUUGAACCGCAUGGUUCAAAAGUGAAAGACGGUCUUGCUGUCACCUAUAGAUGGAUCCGCGCUGCAUUAGCUAGUUGGUAAGGUAACGGCUUACCAAGGCAACGAUGCAUAGCCGACCUGAGAGGGUGAUCGGCCACACUGGAACUGAGACACGGUCCAGACUCCUACGGGAGGCAGCAGUAGGGAAUCUUCCGCAAUGGGCGAAAGCCUGACGGAGCAACGCCGCGUGAGUGAUGAAGGUCUUCGGAUCGUAAAACUCUGUUAUUAGGGAAGAACAUAUGUGUAAUUAACUGUGCACAUCUUGACGGUACCUAAUCAGAAAGCCACGGCUAACUACGUG